GAGGGUAGAGCUCAGAGGUAGGGUGCAUGCCUAGCAUGCCCAAGGGCCUGGGUUCAAGUCCCAGUACCUCCA
rnacentral:tRNA from 1 species